GUAACACGUGGGCAACCUGCCCUGCAGAUCGGGAUAACUCCGGGAAACCGGUGCUAAUACCGAAUAGUUUAUAACCUCUCCCGAGGUUAUACGGAAAGACGGUUUCGGCUGUCACUGCAGGAUGGGCCCGCGGCGCAUUAGCUAGUUGGUGGGGUAAUGGCCCACCAAGGCGACGAUGCGUAGCCGACCUGAGAGGGUGAUCGGCCACACUGGGACUGAGACACGGCCCAGACUCCUACGGGAGGCAGCAGUAGGGAAUCUUCCGCAAUGGACGAAAGUCUGACGGAGCAACGCCGCGUGAGUGACGAAGGUUUUCGGAUCGUAAAACUCUGUUGUGAGGGAAGAACAAGUACCACGUAACUACUGGUACCUUGACGGUACCUCACCAGAAAGCCACGGCUAACUACGUGCCAGCAGCCGCGGUAAUACGUAGGUGGCAAGCGUUGUCCGGAAUUAUUGGGCGUAAAGCGCGCGCAGGCGGUCCCUUAAGUCUGAUGUGAAAGCCCACGGCUCGACCGUGGAGGGUCAUUGGAAACUGGGGGACUUGAGUGCAGAAGAGGAAAGUGGAAUUCCACGUGUAGCGGUGAAAUGCGUAGAGAUGUGGAGGAACACCAGUGGCGAAGGCGACUUUCUGGUCUGUAACUGACGCUGAGGCG
rnacentral:rRNA from 1 species